AUAAGUUUCCACAAAAAGAAAAAGAUAUUCUCCUACAUCUUAGCAACUCUUCUUUUUCACGUUUUAAGAAUUCUCUGUUUUAAUUGCCCCACUUCUACAAUUGAACAACACCUCCCCCAAAAAAAAACUAUCGCUCAUCUCCACGGUUUUAAUUUUUUUCUGCAACUAUGAUAUCCAAUUUUCCUCGACCAUACAUAAUUAUAAUCUUUGCUGAUAUACCAAAAUUUU
rnacentral:sRNA from 1 species